ensembl:lncRNA
CGUCCGGCCGUGCUUUACGACAGCGCUUUGCGGCAGCAAUCGGUGGGUUGAGACGGCCUCGCUCGGCGCUUCAGGGACGUGCGCCGGCCCUCAGCGCUGUGAUAUUUUACUUCUAGAGUUUGGUAUUCGCUAUGCAGAAUUCUCCAGAAGUACAAAAGGAGAAGCCAUCAAGUAGGCAAGGAGUCAAAUCAACUGAAAAUUUUAGCAUUUUGCAUUUUUAACACCAUUUUAUGUAGUUUCAAGUAUCAAGUGAACUGGACUUCAAUGUGAUAUCAUGAUGUUCAUUCUCUGCUUGGUCCUUGUCAUCUUCUAAGUCAAAUUCACACUUUUUACUUCAAACAGCAAAAUCACCACUGUAAGCUUCAGAAGGCUUUUGUCUUGUACAGUUUUGUCUUGUACAUUUUGAAGAUCAGCAGGAUCCUUCACUGAGAAGUAUGAAGUACAUCAGGAGAGAAGGUAACUAAAAGAUCAUGUUCAUCGUGUUCAGCAGCUGAAGAGUUUUCUAAACUCAAUUAGUGCAAGAAUGCUGUGACCAAUGGAAAAAUGUUUGAUGCUUGCCAGAAAGCAAAUCUCCCCAGCUCUUGAAAAUAGCGUUCUGAAAACAAGGCACACUGGUGUGUUAUCUGGACACUGCAUGCUGCCAGGAAUUUUGAAAUGGUCAAACCAGCAGAGUCCCUGCCUGGUAGACAACUGAUGGAGUGAUGGUUACCUGUUAUCAGCUGUAGCUAUUGAGAUGAGACAGUUCAGUUCUUGUUGUCUUGUCAUGUGUUAAUAGCUGAUGCAUUUUAAGUCAUCUCUCCACCCAGUGUUAACGCCUUGUUCAGGGAGGGCAGUAAAGAACUCUCAGGAUCUGGUAUCUCCAAGUGUCUCUUCUGUAUUUCUUUCCUGUUCCCAAGGGAAUCCAGUCUGUAAUAUCUACCCACUAGUAGAACUACAAGCAGUUCACAGAAACACAAACACAAGCAGUAUUACAACACACGUAUUAAAAUGACAUUUUUUUACAAGAUCAAAAACAAAUAGAAAAAAUAAAAGUGCUGUGGGAAAGCAUUUACCAAAUAAAAAUGUCUUUGGAGGCCUGAUUGUAUGUGGGUCUGUGAAUAACACUCAGGAGACUAUAAACUUUAGACAAACCAGAUGGUUAGACAGCAAUCCAGAUGGUUUUAUUUAUGCAGACAGAGUUCACAUUUAGGGAGGUGCUUUGUUCCUCUAGAGAAGGUUUCACACACAGAGUAGAAUUAUAUAUAUGGCGUAUGGUGAUAGACUGAAACAUUCAUAAAAAUUUAAGUCUCAUUGAGUAGUCUGUUGUCCUUUCAAUACAGAUAUCAUCGUAAUUACAUAACUGACAUGCUUGUUGGCUGCUCUUGCACAUGAUGUUGCUUCUUUUUACUGCAUUAGUAUCCAAGGGUUUUAGUGAGGAUUAUGACCAGUUUAUUUCGUUAUGUGUUAUAAAGUUGUAUUGGAAGAUGCAGUUCUUGUUUACAAGAGUUGAGAGUCUAAGGACAAUGAAAACACAAAAAUUGGCAAGCUAUGGAGGAAAGUAAGAGGGAGGUAACUGGAUAUAACUGAAAAAAUCUGAUAAGUAUCAGCUAGGAAAUCUCUCUCCUUUUUGGUAUCAGUGAAGGAGAUAGAAAAACAGCCUUGACACUUAUCAAAGUGACCUUCUAAUCCUUUAGCUUUAGUUUUACCCUAAGCCCAGAUAGUACAUCUAUCUUAACCACAAAGUCAGUGCAUGCCUACUUUUCAUAUUCUUCUAUGUGCAUAAAAUGGUGAUUUUAUACAACACAUGCCAUUCUCUGAUAAAAUGACAAACAGUAGUUAGCUUCCAGAUGAUUUCAAUACAAAGUGAAGAUCUUGGCUUAAAAACCUAAUGUUAGUUCUACUGCUCAGGCAGUAGCCUCCUGUAACACAGCAAUCUGGUGAUCUAUAAUGUCUUAUCAAACUCUUUUUUGAAUGUCUAAUCUAUCAUACCUAAUUUCACUGGAGUUUUUGGACCACUUUUUUUCUUUCUGAUUAUAUUACCUAUAGCUUCUUAUUGAUGUUUGGAAAAAGUAUUUCUGGAAGGGGUAUUUCUACAGUCACAUGUUGGUGUGGCAUGCAGUGACAUACAUUGUGAUUAGCAGAUUAAGAAGUAUGAAAUUGCUUUGGUGAUUUCCUUAAUGUACUUGAAAAGUAACAGGUGCCAGAGCUUUUGUUAUCCAUUCCAUAUGACCUAAAUUGUCUUUAUAUCUCUUCAACAGAGAUGUGUUCUGAACUUCUUCCUAUUAAACAUUCUGUCCAAUUUUGAUUUUGCUGAAAUUUCAUUUUAUCCAUAUUCUUGUUCAGCUACUGACAUUAUAAAAGUGUUCUUUUAGGUUUAUAACUUCUCAGUAGUGUUGUGGAGAUUCAGAAAAUAAGAGUAGGUUUCUUUUUUACUGGUAGCAAAGGUAUCAAGCUCACAUAAACAUUACAAAGACUACCUCAUAAUUUUAUUGGAACAUAUCGUCUUUCCAAAAUAAAUACCAUAGGAAAUGAUAGCAUCAGCAUUGCAUUUGUAAGUCACAACAGAAAGAAAAUCUGUAUUUUGAUGAUACCAAGCUGGGAGGUGCUGUUGAGUCUCUGAAAAGAGGAUAGACUUUGAAAGUGGACCAAGAUACGUCAGCAGGUGUGUGAAACACUUAGCAACAAAGAUACAAAGCAAUUAGCAAUAAUUCUCACAUCCUAAUCAUCACUGCACGUGGUCUUACACAGUAUAAGAUGCUGUUGAUGCAAUUUUGUGAAGUCUUGUUAAGUAGAGUUUGGGGAGUAUUUUAAGUAUUGAAAUAAAACUAUGCUGAUUUCAUGUAGCAUGUAAAUCAAUAGUUAGCUGUGAAAUAAAGCUCAAGUGUCAAAAAUGUUUAUAAUGUUUAUGGCAUUUAGGUGCCUGAUACCUGGUGCAAUACAACGCUCCUACCUGUAAGUCCACAGACUGGUCCAAAAAUAACACCUCCUAAUCGAUUAUGUUAGCCCACAACAUCAGAGGUGGAUGUUGGUGAUACUGCAGUAGAAGUUGAACCUUCCCUCCAAUAUUCCAUUCCAUUUUUUUUUGCUGUGUGAGAGAUGGCAGCAGAGGGGCAGUCUGACAAAAUGCCAUCUGACAUGAAAAGUCACAGAAAGCAAAGCUGUGGCAUUGAAUUCCUUCGUGUGGAAAAAAAUGGCAGCCAUUGACACUCGUCUACUGUUGCUGAAUGGUUUUGGAGACCAAACAGUGGAUGAGAGCACAGUAGGUGGCGCAUUUCAGCAGGGGUGACAGCAACAUGAAAGACAAGCCAUGUUCCAGAUGGCCAUGCAGAUUUUUAUAAGCACAGCAUAUUCUUUGCUGCUUUUAUUCACUGCUGGCAAAAAUAUAUGGCUAAUGGUAACUAUGUUAAAAAACAGAGUUUUGUAGCUGAGAAUGUGCACUGUCAAAUAAUGGUUUUGUACUCUUUGUAUCUGUGGCAGUUUGCAUGGAAAUAAAUAGGAGGCAUUGCUUUUGGAGCAAACUAAGUAAAUUAGGAGGCUGAGAUCCAUCUGCAGUAUCACAUAGAUUUGUAGUCUAUAUCUAAUUGAAAGUUAAUUAGAUUAGACUUUUUAAGGUAUCUGUAUCUUUUGAAAAUAGGACUUCUGUUCAUUAUCACUGGAAACUUUUUGUUUAUUUUAUAUCCAGCGUGCUCUCUGUAUCAAAUAGAGUAGCCCUCUCACAUCUAGCAAAGCCAUUACUUGAUAGGAGCUGAAAGCAAAUAGGACAAAUAUCUCACAGACAGACUGGAAUUGAGCCUUGGGACAAAAGCUGUAGAACGUUAUGGAGUGAAAGAAUAUAUUCCACUGAACUUAAAGAUACUCUUAUACUAUUACUCUAAUAUAAAUACUUUGUGUGUGUGUGUGGUGUUUUUGUUUUGUUUUUAAGAAUGGAUUAAAAGCUCUUCAAGUCUGCUUAUUGUGCAUUCUGGGCUCAGUUGCUAGCUGUUUAUUUUAAGAGUUUAUUUUGACAGAUAAUUCCCAUAUAAUCUCUACCAUGUCAUUCCAUUCCGUGGUCAGUGACAUUUUAACUUCCAGGCUUUAUUCAAAACCCUGCUGGAGCAGGCAGAUAGAUAAGCCAUCAACAUAACUUUUCACAACCUUCCAUGAUCCCAAAAUCAGUUCAGUAAAAAUCAUGUGUUUUUUUUCGCAUCGUAUGGAGCUGAGAUCAGUAUUUUUUUUUAUCCAAAGACAACAACAAUUUUCAAAUCUGUUGGAAAUUUAUUUUAAUACUUUCUUUUGUUCAAAUCUUUUUAAUUAAAAAGCUUGAGAUUUUCUAUAUUACAUAAUUCUUACAGUUCACAUUUAAUAAAUUUAAGCAUGCUUAAUAAUAUUAAAAUGUGACGUAUUGAUUUAUCUUUUGAAGAGAGUUAUGCAGUUGUAUCUUAUGUGAGCUGGACAGGAUACUUGCCUUUGAACAGCACAAAAAAUUG